GUGUAUCUACUUAUUUGACCAGUCUUUAUUUUUAAAAUGGAGUCUAUCAUAAAUACUUAAAAAUGACUUUCCUUUUAAAUCUAUGCUAUGUUAUUUCUCAAAGCUUUUCCCCCAUACAGUUAAAUCUGUCAUUCUUUUUCCCCUUGUAAUUUCUUAUAUUACAGAAAAACCAAACCAUAGCUGGCUCUUUGUAUUUGCUGAGAAUAUAUUUUAGAGUGCCCACACAGCAAGAGAGUCUAUGAUUAUUUCACUAAACCACACCAAGCCUCAUAAGGAAAUGAGGAUGAAGAUGUGCUCUUGCUGUCAAGUGGCUUGCGUGCUCAAGUGAGUGAUGUGUCCCUUGCACAUAAGCUACCUGUGUUAUUCCAACUGUCAUGAGGAGGUAACAGGCAUCAAGAAAGGACCCGGGAAACAAUGUGGAAAGUCUUUAGGAGAAAAAAAAGGUCUUGCUCUGUUGCCCAGACUGGAGUGCACUGGUGAGAUCACAGCUCACUGCAGCCUUGUUCUCCCAGGCUCAGGUGAUCCUCUCACUUCAGCCUCACUUGGCUGAGUGUAGUCAGCUGGGACUACAGGUGCACACCACCACACUUGGCUAAGUUUUGUACUUUUUGUAGAGAUACGUUCCACUGUGUUGCCCAGGGUGGUCUCAAACUUCUGAGCUCAAGUGAUUCUCCUGCCUCAGCCUACCAAAGUGCUGGGGUUACAGCUCUGAGUCACCGCCGCAGCCUCUUUGCCUAAUUUUCCAUAAGGUUUUCAUUUUAUUGAUUUGAACUUGCUUGAGUGUGUUUGCAAUGGUUUUCAAUUAUGACCACACACUAGAAUCACCCAGGGAACUUUUAAACAACAGGCCCCACCCUGUGAAAUAUUGUGAUUCCAAUGGGCUGUGGUGAAGUCCAGGUGCUGAGUUUUAGACUUUCUGACUGAGGGAUUAAGAGUCCCUGGUCCAGGUGAUUUAGAUCGCAGUGGGUGAUCAGGUAGGAUAGAACACAGGGUCCUAGGGAAUAAAUAAGUCAAGGAGCUAAGAGGCCAGGGUGUUGGAAGAAUUGUGUAUAUGGUUGUAUCAGUCUCCUUGUGCUGCCAUAAGAAAAUACCACAGGUGGAGAGGCUUAAACAACAAAAUUAAUACCCUACGGUGUUGAAAGCUAGAAAGUCCAAGAUCAAAGUCUGGUCGUUUUCCUAGCUUGUAGCCAGACACUUCUGACUGUUUUUUCAAAUGGCAGAGAAAGAGGGUGCUCUGUCCUCUCUUCGUUUUCUUCUAAGGACACUAAUUCCAUCUUUGGGGUCCUACCCUCAUGACCUCAUCUAAACCUCAUUACCUCCCCACAGUCCCACCUGCAAAUACACAUUGGUGAUUAGGGCUUUAGCAUAAUACAUUUUAAGGGGACACACACUUUCAGUCCAUAACAGUGGGAUCCAUUAUUUCAUUACUCAUGUUGUACUAUCUUUUUGUCUUGAGACUUGUUGGUUUUGCUAUGUUAAUCUUUCUGCGAUUGUGCUUGGUUCUGACCUCUCUUCUGUAUAUUCUCCCCAUUUUCAUUUGCUCCUUUUCACAGUCACAUCAAAGUCACAGAUUCAGAGGGUAGCCCAUUUGUAGGAUCUCAUUCAUCAGUGUUUACCCCCAAAUUUGGGGUAGAAAGCCA
rnacentral:lncRNA from 1 species